CCGCCGCCGCCGCCGCCGGAUGGUCGGACUAAGCAGGGCCGUCGGGGAAGGAGGGAGGAGAGGGGGAGGAAGAGAAAGGAGGGAGGAAGAAGCCGACAGAUGCUGGAGCCAACGGCGGCGGACGGUGGCGGUCAACCCGAGCCAGUGAGUCCAAGAUGCUGCCGGCUGAUGCUCGUCUCGAUUGUGUUCGGGAUGACUCUGUCGGGAGAAACACCAGCGAAUUGGUACGUAAUGGGAUGUCGUUGUGGUAAUUUGGAUGAGAAUUUGCCCUCCCCAGCUGGAAUCCGGGCUCGAGCGGCUUUGCAAUUUGCACUGAACUGAAGCUGGUGCUUCUCCGAAUCUGCUGCGAGUUUUAACGCGUUUAGUUGGCUUCUGGCUUUUUGACAGCUAAAGUUGGAUUUGGAAGUCCAAUCAAACACAGCCUUAGCAGUAGUUCUCGGUAGCUAUGAAUCACUACUACUACUUAGUAGUAGCGCGAAGUUAAAUCUAGCGCUACUCCUAAAUAAAUAGGAACAUCACGGGUAGGCAGGACGUCGCUACUGCUAAGUGGUCCCAUCGUCACCCACCAAGGCUAUCUAUGGUAGCAUCGCUUGGCUAAAACCGACGCUACUAUUGUUAACUUAGUAGUAGCGUGUGUCGGUGGCCCAUCGCUACCGUUAUGGUUGCACGGUACUAGCAGGUGGGUCUCACUUAGCAGCAAUGCUGGGCCAUCGACACGCGCUACUGCUAUAGUGCUUAGCAGCAGCGUGGUUCUGCAUCCCGCGCUACUGCUAUCCCGCAGCCACC
rnacentral:lncRNA from 1 species